rnacentral:rRNA from 1 species
UGGGGAAUUUUGGACAAUGGGGGCAACCCUGAUCCAGCCAUCCCGCGUGUGCGAUGAAGGCCUUCGGGUUGUAAAGCACUUUUGGCAGGGAAGAAAAGGCGCUGGUUAAUACCUGGCGCCGAUGACGGUACCUGCAGAAUAAGCACCGGCUAACUACGUGCCAGCAGCCGCGGUAAUACGUAGGGUGCAAGCGUUAAUCGGAAUUACUGGGCGUAAAGCGUGCGCAGGCGGUUCGGAAAGAAAGAUGUGAAAUCCCAGAGCUUAACUUUGGAACUGCAUUUUUAACUGCCAAGCUAGAGUAUGUCAGAGGGGGGUAGAAUUCCACGUGUAGCAGUGAAAUGCGUAGAGAUGUGGAGGAAUACCGAUGGCGAAGGCAGCCCCCUGGGAUAAUACUGACGCUCAUGCACGAAAGCGUGGGGAGCAAACA